rnacentral:rRNA from 1 species
CCCUUAGAUGUUCUGGGCCGCACGCGUGCUACACUGAGUGGAUCAGCGGGUCAGGUUGCGCGAAAGUGUUUCCUAAUCUUUAAAUCCGCUCGUGAUGGGGAUUGACGGUUGCAAUUUUCCGUCAUGAACGAGGAAUACCUUGUAAGCGCGGGUCAUCAUCCCGCGCUGAAUACGUCCCUGCCCUUUGUACACACCGCCCGUCGCUCCUACCGAUUGAGUGGUCCGGUGAGGCUUUGGGAUCUGAGCGGAAAGAGCGUUUCGCUGUUUCUGCCCGGAAAACUCAGUCGAACCUUAUCAUUUAGAGGAAGGGGAAGUCGCAACA